UACGUAGGGGGCAAGCGUUGUCCGGAUUCAUUGGGCGUAAAGAGCGUGUAGGCGGCCAGGUAGGUCGGUUGUGAAAACUGGAGGCUCAACCUUCAGAGGUCGACCGAAACCAUCUGGCUAGAGUCCGGGAGAGGAGAGUGGAAUUCCUGGUGUAGCGGUGAAAUGCGUAGAGAUGUGGAGGAACACCAGUGGCGAAGGCGGCUUUUGGUCUGUAACUGACGCUGAGGCGCGAA
rnacentral:rRNA from 1 species